rnacentral:tRNA from 1 species
GCCGGAGUGGUGGAAUUGGUAGACGCAGGGGACUCAAAAUCCCCCGGGUGAAAGCCUGUGCCGGUUCGAGUCCGGCCUCCGGCA